rnacentral:rRNA from 1 species
CCUACGGGAAGGCAGCAGUGGGGAAUAUUGGACAAUGGGCGAAAGCCUGAUCCAGCCAUGCCGCGUGUGUGAAGAAGGCCUUUUGGUUGUAAAGCACUUUAAGCGAGGAGGAGGCUACUUGGAUUAAUACUCUAGGAUAGUGGACGUUACUCGCAGAAUAAGCACCGGCUAACUCUGUGCCAGCAGCCGCGGGUAAU